ACAGAAUGAAAAUCACCUCAGUUAUUCCCAUUGACUUGAGUGUGAUAACUGUGCCGAUAGAAAAAUGGUGCAUCUUAAGUUUAUUGUCAGUCAUUGUGACUCGCAAUGAAACCCAUGUGCCAACAACA